UCCCUGUUAACCAGGGCAGUUUCCCGUGACACAUGAAACACAGGAUAAGGGUUGCGCUCGUUAACCGACUGAACGGGACACUUCACAGCACGAGCUGACGACAACCGUGCAGCACCUGUCAUCUAGUUCCUUGCGGCACAUCCCAGUUUCUUGGGACUUCUAGAGAUGUCAAGCCUUGGUAAGGUUCUCCGCUUAUUAUCGAAUUAAACCGCACGCUCCACCGCUUGUGCAGGUCCCCGUCAAUUCCUUUGAGUUUUAAGCUUGCGCUCGUACUCCCCAGGCGGCCGACUUAACGCGUUAGCUUCGCCCCAAGAGAGGGUCGAUACUCUCCAAGAGCUAGUCGGCAUCGUUUACGGCGUGGACUAC
rnacentral:misc_RNA from 1 species